UACGGGGGGAGCAAGCGUUGUUCGGAUUUACUGGGCGUAAAGGGCGCGUAGGCGGCCACCGCAAGUCGACUGUGAAAUCUCCGGGCUUAACCCGGAAAGGUCAGCCGAUACUGCGGGGCUAGAGUGCAGAAGGGGCAACUGGAAUUCUCGGUGUAGCGGUGAAAUGCGUAGAUAUCGAGAGGAACACCUGCGGCGAAGGCGGGUUGCUGGGCUGACACUGACGCUGAUGCGCGAAAGCUAGGGGAGCGAACAGGGAUUAGAACCU
rnacentral:rRNA from 1 species